GGCAAGGGCAUAGCUAGCUAGAGUUUUGGCCGGCUUGAGAUCCAGGUGCAUCUGAGGCUGAGUGAGGAUUUUCUGCUGAGCAGCACAUAUCCGAGAGCAUCGAGGUAGCUGCAAUGGCGUCCGCAGCCCUGAUCUCUCCCUUCUAUCCUUUGUUUUAUUUCGUAAUUUCCUAGAUUGCUAUGCGUUAGGUUGAUAAACCUGUAUUAGAGGCUUAGACUUGUGACACUGGAUCUAUAUAGGUUAUGUAGUAGGAUUAUUAUUUGAGAUUCCGCAUGUUAAACUCUUAUUUCAGAUUUCUAGUAUUAUGACUUGGUAA